UACGUAGGGGGCAAGCGUUGUCCGGAAUCAUUGGGCGUAAAGAGCGUGUAGGCGGCCCGAUAAGUCCGCUGUGAAAGUCCAGGGCUCAACCCUGGGAUGCCGGUGGAUACUGUCGGGCUCGAGUCCGGAAGAGGAGUGUGGAAUUCCAGGUGUAGCGGUGAAAUGCGUAGAUAUCUGGAGGAACACCGGUGGCGAAGGCGGCAUCCUGGACCGAGAUUGACGCUGAGGCGCGAAAGCCAGGGGAGCAAACGGG
rnacentral:rRNA from 1 species